rnacentral:rRNA from 1 species
AUUGAACGCUGGCGGCAGGCCUAACACAUGCAAGUCGAACGAGAGGCGAACGGGUGAGUAAUGUCUGGGAAACUGACUGAUGGAGGGGGACAACUACUGGAAACGGUAGCUAAUACCGCAUACCAUCGGAUGUGUCCAUGUGGGAGUUGCUAGUCGGUGGGGUAAAGGCUCACCUUGGCGACGAUCCCUAGCUGGUCUGAGAGGAUGACCAGCCACACUGGAACUGAUACACGGUCCAGACUCCUACGGGAGGCAGCAGUGGGGAAUAUUGCACAAUGGGCGAAAGCCUGAUGCAGCAAUGCCGCGUGUAUGAAGAAGGCCUUCGGGUUGUAAAGUACUUUCAGCGGGGAGGCGUUACCCGCAGAAGAAGCACCGGCUAACUCCGUGCCAGCAGCCGCGGUAAUUC